rnacentral:sRNA from 1 species
GUGCGAAUGUGCUUGCACAUAUGAGCACAUGGAUUUAUGAACCUAACAGACAUGAGGAAGAAGGAACUUGCGAAGCAAGUGAACGGAUUCCGAAUGGCUGCAGGAUCACGGAAAUUGCGUAGCAAUGGAGUGAUCCGU